UACGUAGGUGGCAAGCGUUGUCCGGGAUUAUUGGGCGUAAAGCGCGCGCAGGCGGCCUCUCAAGUCUGAUGUGAAGGCCCACGGCUCAACCGUGGAGGGUCAUUGGAAACUGAGGAACUUGAGUACAGGAGAGGAGAGUGGAAUUCCACGUGUAGCGGUGAAAUGCGUAGAUAUGUGGAGGAACACCAGUGGCGAAGGCGGCUCUCUGGCCUGUAACUGACGCUGAGGCGCGAAAGCGUGGGGAGCGAACAGG
rnacentral:misc_RNA from 1 species